UGGUUCGAACUUAAAUUCGAAACAGCUGGUAGUCAACAAUUGUCAUUUAAUAAACAUUUUGUCUAAAAUAUUUUUGUAAAUAUGAGCAGAAACUGUUAAAUCUAACUAUUUUUUUUAUAGUAAAUACCGAAAUAAUUAGAAAAAUCACCAGAAAUUUGCCGGACGUUUCCUUAGAUAUUCCAGAGUCAGUGUAAGUGCUUAAAGGAUAAAUAAAGAAUGAAAAUAUUAUUAGCGAUAUAAGGCCCCUAAUGAAGCCAACGGUCAUAGCUGUUUACCAACUACUUUGAGAAUUUUUACGGAAAGAAAUUUCGGAGAUCCAGUACUUGGCUGCUGUGCUGUGAUUUCCACAACACACGCCGCCUUCUAAUUUUAGAUUUUGCCAUGGAAGAACUUGAUGAAAACAAGAAAAAACGUUAACUUCGGCUGUACCGAAGCUAAUAUACCCUUCACAGCCCCUAAAUUCGCACGAGAAACUUAAUCAAACAGUUUAUUAGCUAGAAAUCGAAAGUGAAUGCAAUUGAGCAGCAGCUUCGUCAGCGGCUGCUGCAAUGCCGAAAAGUAAACGACCUUUGUUGCUAUAAAAAAUCGCUUUGAGCCAAGUAUCGGCAAUAAACCUAAAUCAACAAACUGUGCGGUGACAAAUCGAAUCACACAGCAAUGAAUAUGGAAACACGCUACGUGGAAAAAAUAUGUCGCGAACACAAAAUCAACACCUUGCCCGCUUGCCGCUCUGCACUGAGUUGGCUGCAGCAACUCCGAGCGCUAUCACAACACGCAAGCACACACGCGCGCACGAUUUCAUGCACUAAUGCCAGUCGAUGUGUGACUGAAUAAAGCCAAACCGGCAAAUGUUGCAUGCAACACGACGAACAUCAACGGCGGCGCUGUUUGUCACCAAAGGCGGCCGAAAUGCCGAUAAAUGACCGAAAAAAGGCGCAAACUAACAGCAAAUAAAUGAGGCAAACGCGCACACCAUUGAACGCCGCCGAAGCGCUAUGCAUUCACGUAUGUGUGUCAGCGUGCAAACGACUUUGCAUUGCGCUGAUUAAGAGACAAUAACAAAACUGCCGCACCGCGCCGCUUACAACAACUUGUAGUUGCUAUACACUGUAGUAACUGCUUGUAACUGCUUGCUUAGCCGACCAGACGAAUUCGCAACCGCACGCGCCGAACGCACAAAUUGUACUGAUGAAACUCAACAACGCCCGAGUUGCUGGAAGCUUUGGCGUCCGCCUCGGCGACCGUGACAGUGAGUGGCAGCAACACGACCACCGGCCGCGACGUCGACAUUAACGCCACAACGGCGACUGCGCGUGACGUACCACAUUUGCCGGCCUAUGCAUGGCCAGCAACAACAACAACAACAGGUCGAAUGCAUGAAAUGCACGCUUGAAAGUGUAGGCUUUUGUGUUGUUGUUGUGUGUUUUGUUUCGUCCGAAAUCUCGUGUGUUCUUUGGUGGCGUCGCAGCUUGUGCUUCAUUGAUAUGCUGCAGGCGUUGCGGCACAAAACAGCUGUAUACAUGGCGGCGGCGCUCUCUGCGUUGCACAGCAGCAGCUGUUGGACGGUUGAGCAACGUAAGAAAAUGACUGGGAGAAAAGCGGUGGAAAACUUUAGCAAAACACAAACUUCGCAAAGUAGGUAACGGCAACACAGUGGCGAGUUGAGUGUGUGUGUGAUGUUUUCCUUUGGCCACAAUGUACGUUGGCAACAUGUUGAUAUGUCGCUGUUGCUAGCGAUCGCAGGAAACAUGUUGUGAUAACUAUUGUUGCUGAGCUCACUAUUAGCAACAUUUGGUGAAUCAAAAAGAGUACUUAAUAUUAA